UGAUCCUGGCUCAGGAUGAACGCUGGCGGCGUGCUUAACACAUGCAAGUCGAACGAGAAACCCGAUAUUUAUAUUGGGGAGUAGAGUGGCGAACGGGUGAGUAACACGUUGGUGACCUGCCCCGAGGUGGGGGAUAACCGUGGGAAACCACGGCUAAUACCCCAGAUGUUGAAGAGUUUAGACGCCUUCAACUAAAGUUCCGACGCCUCGGGAGGGGCCUGCGGGCUAUCAGCUUGUUGGUGGGGUAAUGGCCUACCAAGGCUAAGACGGCUAGGGGGCGUGAGAGCGCGACCCCCCACAAUGGAACUGAGACACGGUCCAUACUCCUACGGGAGGCAGCAGUGAGGAAUAUUGCGCAAUGGGGGCAACCCUGACGCAGCAACGCCGCGUGAACGAUGAAGGCCUUCGGGUCGUAAAGUUCUUUUCUGAGGGAAGAUAAUGACGGUACCUCAGGAAUAAGUCCCGGCUAACUACGUGCCAGCAGCCGCGGUAAAACGUAGGGGGCGAGCGUUAUCCGGAUUUACUGGGCGUAAAGAGCACGUAGGCGGCGCUGUAAGUUGGGCGUGAAAGCUCUCGGCUUAACUGAGAGAGGUCGUUCAAAACUGCAGUGCUUGAGGUUGGAAGAGGAGAGUGGAAUUCCCGGUGUAGUGGUGGAAUGCGUAGAUAUCGGGAGGAACACCAGUGGCGAAAGCGACUCUCUGGUCCACACCUGACGCUGAGGUGCGAAAGCGUGGGUAGCGAACGGGAUUAGAUACCCCGGUAGUCCACGCUGUAAACGAUGCCUACUAGAUCGUGGGAGUUCUGACGCUCUCGCGGUCGAAGCAAAAGUGUUAAGUAGGCCGCCUGGGGAGUACGGUCGCAAGGCUAAAACUCAAAGGAAUUGACGGGGGCUCACACAAGCGGUGGAGCAUG
rnacentral:rRNA from 1 species